UUUUUAGACCCAAACAAUCUUGCUUAAAGAAACUGCCCCAGGAUGGGAACAUAGCAAGGCGGCUUUUUUCAAGGUGUGUUCGGGUAUCUGGAAAGGG
rnacentral:SRP_RNA from 1 species